rnacentral:pre_miRNA from 1 species
CAAAUACUCCCUUCGUCCAGAAAUACUUGUCAUCAAAACGGAUAAAAGGAAAUGUAUCUAGACGUAUUUUAGUUUUAGAUACAUCUAUUUUUAUCCAUUUUGAUGACAAGUAUUUUCGGACGGAGCGAGUAGAAA